AGAUUGAACGCUGGCGGCAGGCCUAACACAUGCGAGUCGAGCGGUAGAGAGGUGCUUGCAUCUCUUGAGAGCGGCGGACGGGUGAGUAAUGCCUAGGGAUCUGCCUAGUGGUGGGGGAUAACGUUCGGAAACGGACGCUAAUACCGCAUACGUCCUACGGGAGAAAGCGGGGGACCUUCGGGCCUCGCGCCAUUAGAUGAGCCUAGGUCGGAUUAGCUAGUUGGUGAGGUAAUGGCUCACCAAGGCGACGAUCCGUAAC
rnacentral:rRNA from 1 species